GGAGAGAUGGCUCAGUGGUUAAGAGCACUGACUACUCUUCCAGAGGACCUGGGUUCAAUUCCCAGCACCA
rnacentral:tRNA from 1 species